UACAACAAUACUUGCUGCUAUUUACCCAAGAAGAUAGCCGGCCUGAAGGGUCUUGGAGGUCAGCCUUAAAACUCAAAAGGGCUUUCCUUUCAGCUUCAAUGCAACUUACGCCGCAAGUUCCAUAGCAGCAGAAACACAACCAAGUAAGAAGGAACACUAGAGAAACAAUCAUGUUGUUGAUUGCCAUUUAAUUGCAGAAGCACACAAAAAAGAAAAAAACUAGAAGUGAACUCAAUUGAGGUCUUGCAUGGUUGUGCAAGAUAGUAGCAGAUAAUUUAUGGGAACUCAAUUGUCUUAUUACAGUUAUCUUGUUUUGUUCUAUUUAGAAGAUGUUUGGAACUCAAAUAACCUCAUCUUGUUUGACCCUGGCACCCAUUGACUAAUUAAAUUAAUUAUUAUUUACUUCAGCACCUAUUCCACAAGUUCUAGUUAUAUACAUUUUUAAACUAUUGCUUUUGUGCAAAAUUCAUGGACUUUAAAGACAACCCAUGUAACGAUAAAUUCUGUGUUAAAAUCGUAUGUAGGUGAUGGCUCGAGUAUUGGAAGAUUUUGUACCGAACUCAUCUGGAGCUUCUAGAUCAUUGGCAGCUUUCAAAGAAAAACACACGUCGAGAAUAGCUCACCAACUAAGGAGGAGGAGGAGGAGGAGGAUGAAGAGGAGUAGGUUAUAGGUUGCUAUGUUAUUAUUAUUGUCUUUCUGAAUGAUGUAGUAACAAUAUUUAACUUUCGAAUGAUGUAGUAACGGUAAAGUUUGAAUGAUAUAAAACUACGUUUAUUUUC
rnacentral:lncRNA from 1 species